CUUUAUUGGAGAGUUUGAUCCUGGCUCAGGAUGAACGCUGGCGGCGUGCCUAAUACAUGCAAGUCGAGCGAAUGGAUUAAGA
rnacentral:rRNA from 1 species